AUGCUUGCUUCAAUAGUCCACAUGCUAAAAUUUAAAUGAUACAAAGAUCACCAUGACCUCUGUGAAAGAUGACAUGUAAAUCCAUGAAGCAUUCCAUACUUUU
rnacentral:snRNA from 1 species